UAAAUUAGUAACCCACUACUACUUGUUAAUGAUAACUGCUAUAAGUAAAAUGGUUACUAAUUAAUUUAAUUCACCUCACCAGCUGCCACUGAUCACCCAUGAAACAUGAAUAUUUUGCGAAAAAAAUAAAAGACUUCCCUCGCCUAUUUUUCAGUACCGCGUCUCUGCUUUCUCUUCUCUUUCCCUGUUUCUCCAACUGUGAAGGCGCCGCUUCUCCAGAUCGCCGCCCUCACCACCACCGGAAUUCUUGUACUGUAAACGACAUAUUACCACGGAAAUACUGCAGUCUAAAGGCAGCCAGGUGAAUAAUAUCUAGAAAAUGCACGCACAUCAUCUAUAUCCUCCUCUCUUGUGACUUGUGAGCGGCACAAAAGGAUCAAACAACAAGCCCUGCCUUUAUUUAGUAUCAUCUCUGACCCUUUAGAGCAAGUCUUAGAAUAUAAGACUGUCUUACCCAAUUAUAUUGCUUAAACUGUGAUUUGGACAUGAUUUUUUUGCAAUCAUCUUUGAUUCCUUAUCAUUUUAUAACUGAGUACAUUUUCAAGCUACUUUUAUUUAUAAGCUCUAACAAAUACAUAUAUUGCUGUUUUGCAGGAAAAACAACAUGGCAUCAUAAGGUUUAGUCUUUAAUUACGCGUAUCAUGAACAAAAUGGAUCUGUACGUCUUAUAAGACCUACUAAGUUGAUCUCACUUUAUAUUUUGUUCAUGAUUAUAAUUAUAUUUAGUGAUUCACAAUUGAAAGUGGUAAGCAAUUACGUUUAGCCAAUGGAGGUGGUGAGAAAAAAAAUACUAACAUAUAAUUACCAGUGAUAAGCAAGCCCUGGAUCCAUAGAAGUCAGCUCAUACGCAAUAAUAAGGAAAGGGAUCAGUUACUGCUAAAUAAGUCAAAUACAAUUGGAAAUUUGAGUAUGCGGUCUGAUUUUGAUGUUAGCCAGGCUCUAGCUACGAUGAUGGGAGGUGCAACUAAGCUCGAAUGAUGACUGGCUCAAAGAAUAACCAAGUGAAUGUUUGCUACACCCAAGUUUAUCUCAGUUAUUUGGUGAACAUGUGAGUUUGUCAGUAUACGUGUUUAUAUGUCCUUGUAUCUGUUGAUUUGAGAAUGUCUUGCAGAUACUAGUAGAAGAUAAAUGUGCCCACUUUGUUGUUUUAAAUUCUAUUUCUGUCUAAUUUGAAAUUCUUAGGUUUUUACGUGGUCAUGAAAUUGACAAGAUUCGUAUAAUGAUAGAAGACAUACAACUAUAAAAAUUCCUUUACUGAGUUUGCUCAUGUUGUAGCAGAGAAAUUGUAGUUUAUAUAGCUACAUUUAUAAAAUGUGUGGUAGUUUUUUGACCGUUGAAUGACUGAAAUGUUUCAGCCUUCUUAAGCUAUAUUAUUUUUCAGUUUGAAGAAAAUAUAUUCUCUCCAUAAUGUUAAAUAUUAUGAUUGACCCAUAAAAUGAUUGUUAGUCUAUGUGAAAUGGUCUUUGCAUUGGCAUAGUGGUCCAAGUGUCCAACCAUUGACAACUGAACUUCUUUGUUUUCAUCUCGUUAUAGGUAGUAGAUCCAAUUUUGUCAUUUUUGUGAAACAGUGGUAGACACUUCAUCAAUGAAGUGUGUUUUUGAAACACCAAACAAGAAGAACAAAUAACCAUGAUUGUAGAGCCAUUGGAGAGAGAUCUUAAAUAGGAUAUUGAAACUGGAGUUGUGAGCAUUGACUGUCCACGGUAGAAACUGGGAGAAUUUUUCCAAACAGUGUAUGAAUGGGAUUUUAUGGCUGCCUAUUCGGUAUAGGCCUUUGGUCCAUAUAAGCAGAUAAGUUUGUUUUGGAUGUUAGUGUCAUACUUUUUUUUUGCGUUAUUAUGUUAUUUUGUGUUGGUGAUAUAUUUAAAAACCAUCUUACUUGUAAGGACCUAACAUACUGUUAGCUGACAAGCUUCCCAGUGAAGUAAAAAUAACUUUAUAAAUGUUGUGAAGGAUUCUAUUGUUCAAGGGUAAGCCAAUUCUUACAUUUCUCCCCCUCCCCUCCAAAGAUUGUUACUGAUCAAUCUGGGAUGCAAGAUGGAGGGAAAACUACUGGUGAUUUGAUGUUCAAGGCAGUGUCUUGGUGACUAGUUGAUUUUUUCUUCGGGUUUCCGCUUCAUUUGUUGUUUUUGUUAGUUUUUUUAUGUGAAGAUUUUAUGUUUCUUGGAAGCAGAGUAUGGGGCAAGGUUCAUUUUGUCCCGUAAAAUUUCCUAUAGAAGGUACUUCCACUUUGAAAUUGUUCAGAUACACUAUUGGUUUAAUGCUUCAUUGUUUAUGCGAUUUAAGUGGGCAUUUGAUGCCAUGGCAGGAUAUCAACUUGUCCAGUCCUCUGUUUUACUGGUUGCAGUAAACAUGGUAGCACCGUUCUAACUUACUCUCAACGGUUGGGAUCAAGAUAACCGUUACGAACCAUUGAUGAAGCCGGCCUUCAUUACGUAUUUAUUGUUCAAUUAUGUGCAAUUAAGCACGAACGUUACACUCUUGUUGUAAAGGCCUAUAAAAUGGCUUAAAUUUGUCAGUUUACAUAUACGAAUUCCAAGCAAUAAAAAUAUUAUUAUU